rnacentral:lncRNA from 1 species
CACCACUUCAUUUCCGGAAUGUUUUGUUUUUUUCUCCACUUAACCUCUCUUCUUUUCUUCCUGAGGAGAAUGCCAGAUCUCUAAAUGAGUUGGUUCUACUGAUUCUAAACAAAGCUUUUUUCAUUACAUUAGCAAGAAACUGGCAGAUUCCAGUAAAAACCAUCUUCCGUUGUCUGCUUUGGAGCUUUUCUACUUUUCUUCCCAGACAUCUGGGCUACUGGCUUAAUGAGAGAGACACUGGUCUUACUGUCCUGGUAAUCCCGAGAGAUUUAAAAUUUUUUUUGGUGAUGAGGUAGUCCAGCCUAUCCUUUAGUGAAUGCUCAUGAUGAUAGGAUAUCCAUCUUUCCAAUAAAUUCCUUUAUCUUGGCUAAGUUUAUGCACUUGUUAAUGUUCUGUAUCAUCCAUCAGGACUUGGGUGUUUAUUUCUGUGCAAUUUUAUAUGGGAUGUGAAGGCUCCAAGCUGGGAUUUGAGCAGUAUGAGCCAACCAAACAAGGGGAUUUUUCGUUCACUUUAGUAAAUGCAUGAGGUUGUUUACUCAAUAACGCAUAAACUGCAUCCAAGCAAAACUUAAUUAGGUGCUCUACCACGAAAAACCUAUGAGAAGAGAGGAAUAGAGAACAGCUGGUUCUGUCAGCUGUUACAGCUUGCAGACCUGCAAAGAGCUGUGUAUGUUGCAGAACUUCUUUUCCUCUCCUCAAUAGCAGCUGCUACUUUGGCUGUUUUUCUCCAAUGGGAGCCUCAAUAAGGAUUCAGGUGAAAAAUGCAGGCUGUGGGAAGGAACAUGUAACGUGGAGUGGGAAUUACCCUGAACCAGGGGUACUCCAGAUGUUCCAGCAGUUCACUGAGGUGGGUUUUUUGUUUGUUUAUUUGGUUUUGUGUUGUUGUUGUUGUUUUUUAUGAUUCUUGCAAAUAGAAAUUCCCUUUAAUUGAGAAUUUUGCUGGCAGAUAUCCCCUGCUCUACUGAAUAUUAGGGGAAAUGGAGGCCAGUUACAUUUGUCAGUAAGUCCGAAGGAGCAGAAAUGUAAGUCUAAAGAAAUGUUGAAAUGGCUAAUACAGGACAAACGUUCUCUCUAACAAGCCAAGAAAAGCUUGCUGAUUCAGGCAAAGCCAAUAUCCCCAGUCCUUCCAUUGUAGCCAUGUGUUGCCAGUUGGAUAAUGCUCCUGUUGUACAAUAACUGCACCCACAUCUGUCCUCCAAAUGUCCUCUUGUACCCCUAAGUACUUUUAUCUGGUAUAUCUGAAUAUAAUGAACUGAAGUUUCUGUUUAGAAGUAGUAGACUGUAACCUUGGUAGGUGUUUUGUACUGUGGCUAUUUUGCCAGCUUUCCCAUUACUCUGUCCUUAUGAGUUUUGGCAAUUCGAGGUGAACAAGCAUGCAGGCAAACACACAAAUAAUAUCUAUGAGAUAUCACUAACAAGAAUGUAGAGAAUUUAUUGCAGCAUUCCUGCUUGAUUUGUAAACAAGUUUAUUCUGGGUAUGGUUUUGAAUCCCGUCCAAAACUUUUGUUUACAGAAAUGAUCUCCCAGUUUCCAUUCAGGCAGACAGUUAUCAUCACCAGCCUUCAGCUAUUGAUAUCUGUAAUUGCAUAAAUGUCACUGUUUCUCUUACUUGUCUUUCUAAAAUGGAAUAUGCUGCUGAAGAUUCAUUCUGUUAAACAGAGUGUGAUUCACAAAAUUUUGACUAGAUUCUUGUCACGGGUUUAUGAUUUUUGUUAUCAGUAUUCCACAUCCUAACAUCAUAUAGUGCACUGGGAGUUAAAGAGUUAAUGCUGCAGUUCCGUGGACUGUCGAUAUUUCCAGGUACCUGGUUCUCGGAAGAGAAGAACAACUACAUCUCCCAGAAGACUUUCACUGUUCUGUUUCCGUUUCCUGUUUAGGGGGAAAGAUAAAACUACUCCGAGUCAUGAGAUUGCCCCUUUUUCUUUUACUGCUCGUCUCUGCGGUGCGUGCUCCCUAGCCAUCUCACCUUUGGCAUUAGAGUAAGGCUGUCAGUUUUUAACACUCUCUCAUUUUCUUUGAUUUAUUAGCUUCAAUUCCAAUUACAUUGUAUUAUAUUGUGUUAUCUUGCAUUCUGAUAUCUUAUUUAGUAAAUUAACUUUCUUCCUCAGAUCAUUGCCACUGUUUCGUUUUUAGUCCCAUCUCCCUACUCUUUCCCCUUUUCCCCUUUCCCGGGGCAUGGGUCUGUGGGUCCCCUCACCCCAUUAGUCACCCAUUAGGAACCGGGCCAAACCGGCCUGUAAGCCGCUGACAAUUCUGAAAUGGAUGGUCAAGUCAAUUGGGUCUAAACAGAUACCUCUCUUCCUGUUGUGAUGGGACCUGUGAACUAUUUGAAACCAUAGAUCCAGAAGAACCUUACCACUCAGCUUCUAUGGUUGCACUGAGCCACUUCUACCAUCAAGAGCGCCUGGGAAAAUAUUCACUGGGAGAGUGAAAACAUCAGCUGAACAUGCACGUGCUAAGAUACUGCAGAGAAAUUAUACUGUGAUGUGACACUCACUUCACUGACAUGGUCAUAGCUCUCCCUCAGGCUUGGCUCACACAUCUUCUUUCCAGAAAACCAGGAGAUGAGCAGAAGAGAAGGGAGAAUGUCUAGGUUUCAUCCUUCACAUAAGUCAUGGGCCUGGAGCACUGGCCUAUGAAACAACGGAGACUUGCGCGUUGCCUGCAAAAGCAUCUACUGAAAACAUGCCUGGAUUUUAAAAGCAGCAGUCAGGGAAAGGCUGACAACUUCCUCUCACUACAUGAACUUGCCUUAGAAUGAAAAUUGUGACAUUCAGAAAUAUGGCUAGAGAAAUGUCAGUUGGUGGUAAUAAUGCAGGGUUUCUGUGUGUAUUUUAAGCAUGCUCUAUCUGGGAGUUCUCUCAGGAUUGGGCAGUGAUCGAAGAACUUAGACUUCAGCUUUAAGCACUGUGGGUGGUAAUAGGGCACCAACUUUACUCUUCAGAAAUUAGGCCUGGACAGCAUCCUCCCUCCUGCUCCCCUGGGACGAAAGUAAGUGCAGUAGCAUACAAUCAGUGCAUGAGACAUCCCUGUGCCUUGGCAUAAUUCAGUUUAAUUGUAACAAAAGCAGGUGAUUAACUUGGGGAUGGACAACUGAUACAUGGGGAUAACUAGAGAAAUCUGAAAACAGAACAGUGCAAUGUUAAAGUGCGGCAUCAAAAAAAAAUAAUUGGCUUACCACAAAAUAAAUCCCUCAAACUUCAGUCCUCUGAGGUUUAU